rnacentral:antisense_RNA from 1 species
GGAGGGAUCGGGUUCUCCUAGGAAGUUUCAGGGAAACGUUGUGUUCUGUUAGUCUUGGAGGCCAAGGCUGAGUGGGUUUAUCUCUGUGCCCCUCCAGUGACUUCAAAGAAUGCCAAAAGUCUCUCGAGUGUGUGUGUGUGCACACACAGACACACACAAA